CCCGUUGGCAUUUCAAUAAGUAGAGGAAAAGAAAUUAAUAAGGAUUCCUUUAGUAACGACGAGCGAACCGGGCACAACUCACCAUGAGAAUCGGUCACCCUUGGCAUUUGAAUUGUAGUAUGGAGAAGUGUUUCAGUGGCAAACCAGGCCCAAGUUCCCUGGAAGGGGGUGCCAGAGAGGGUGAGAACCCCGUUGUGCCUAGAUCUUGUCACACCACAAGGCAUUAUCAACAAGUCGAGUUGUUUGUGCAUGUAGCUCCAAUCGGACAGUAAAUUUCGUCCAAGGCUAAAUACUAGUGAGAGAUCGAUAGCAAACAAGUAUCGCGAGAGAAAGAUUAAAAAGGACUUUGAAAAGAGUAAAAGAGUACUUGAAAUUUGUAAGACCCUAUAGAAAAAUGUGGUAAUUAAGGGGUAAUGUGGUUAUGAGACUUGGACAUUAUUGUUUGAUAAUUGGUGUUUAAUGAUUAGAUGUUUUCUAAAAUUAUAAUUAUUAUGUUUAUUAUUUAAUGUUAUCAUUGAUUAAGUGGAACAUAUGAUUGAUAUAUUGUUAAUUGAAUGAUUUGGGUAAUGUAUUGUUACUAAUAUGAUGUGUGGGAUUGAGGG
rnacentral:ncRNA from 1 species